rnacentral:rRNA from 1 species
GACGAACGCUGGCGGCGUGCUUAACACAUGCAAGUCGAACGGAAAGGCCCUGCGUUUGUGGGGUGCUCGAGUGGCGAACGGGUGCGUAACACGUGAGUAACGUGCCCUUGACUUUGGGAUAAGUUUAGGAAACGGGGGCUAAUACCGGAUAGGAGCUCCUGCUGCAUGGAGGGGGUUGGAAAGUGCCGGCGGGUGGGGAUGGACUCGCGGCUUAUCAGCUUGUUGGUGGGGUAGUGGCUUACCAAGGCUUUGACGGGUAGCCGGCCUGGGAGGGUGACCGGCCACAUUGCGACUGCGAGACGGACCAGAAGCCUACGGGAGGCAGUAGUCGGGAAUAUUGCACAAUGGGCGGGAGCCUGAUGCAGCAACGCCGCGUGCGUGAUGACGGCCUUCGGGUUGUAAACCGCUUUCGCCUGUGACGAAGCGUGAGUGACGGUAAUGGGUAAAGAAGCAACGGCUAACUACGUG